rnacentral:rRNA from 1 species
AGUGAACGCUGGCGGCGUGCUUAACACAUGCAAGUCGAACGAGAACGGAUUAUAGCUUGCUAUAAUUGUCAGCUAAGUGGCGCACGGGUGAGUAAUGUAUAGGUAAUAUGCCUCUUACUAAGGGAUAACAAAUGGAAACGUUUGCUAAUACCUUAUACUUCUUAUUAACAGAAGUUAAUAAGGGAAAGAUUUAUUGGUAAGAGAUUAGACUGUAUUGUAUCAGUUAGUUGGUGGGGUAAGGGCUUACCAAGACUAUGACACAUAACUGGUUUGAGAGGAUGAUCAGUCACACUGGAACUGAGACACGGUCCAGACUCCUACGGGAGGCAGCAGUGGGGAAUAUCGCACAAUGGACGAAAGUCUGAUGCAGCAACGCCGCGUGGAGGAUGACACAUUUCGGUGCGUAAACUCCUUUUAUAUGAGAAGAUAAUGACGGUAUUAUAUGAAUAAGCACCGGCUAACUCCGUGCCAGCCGCCGCAGUAA